AUGACCUCAAGUCAUCACUGAUUUAUUGUUACAUAUGAAUAUGAUGACCUCAAGUCAUCACUGAUUUAUUGUUACAUAUGAAUAUGAUGACCUCAAGUCAUUACUGAUUUAUUCUGUCACAUAUGAAUAUGAUGACCUCAAGUCAUCACUGAUUUAUUUUAGAUUGCUUCGGGGGUACCGCGGCGGAGUAACCCAGUACCUUUGGGAUUCUUCAUAGACAUAAACAGAGAGAAGUAGCUCCAGCUACAAUGUUCUUCUGCACGACGCAAGCAGUUCUGUUUAUUAACCGCUAGAGCGUCAAAAGUUCCCUACCGCAGCUUUAAAUGUAGUUCAACUUUCAGUUCACUGUAACAUCUUGGAAUCCAAAAUUCCAGAUGGAUCUAAGAUAUUACAGUUUGCUCAAAAAAACUUUUCCUCAUGAUUAUAUAAUGACCUAUACAAUAUAAUGAGAUAAGAUCUAUCAUUAAAAACUGUCUGUUACUUCUGUAUUUAAAGUGCACCAAGUGACCAAGAGCACACAAUGGAAGGUAUGAUUUCACUUAAGGGGGAUUGCUUCUCCAUAACCUACAUGAUAAGCAACUUAUUUUACAGCAUGUUGUUAUAAAAAUACCUUUACAAUGUAUUCAGAUCUGCAUUUCCCAUAUUUAUUGUUUAUUGUUAAAAUUAGUGUGGUUGCAAAAUGUGUCAUUUAUUAAUUAUUAUUCAUCUGCGUAGAUAAGGCAUUAAGGUGUCUCCAAAACAAGAGCCCAAUAUUCACAUUAGGAAGUGUAUGGCCAUAUGACAUUCAAGUGAACAGUUUGAACACUUUAAUGAGGGAUGAGCAAGUUUCUGACGAGGUAAAUUAUUAUCCGUUAUAAAUUCUUACACUUAUUUUCUGUCACGUAUUUCCUACCACCAAAACAAGCCACCAUGGCCUACUUCUAGAAUUUAGCCUUCAAACAUGUUUUCUGUUCUACUCGUCCACUGGAGUUCUGUAUAUUUUUAACUAAAUAUUUUUUUACAAAAUGUAUUUGCUUGCCGGGUUAGGUUUUUUUUCUACAUAGUUAAAGAGUAUGAAAAAGGACUAGUGAUAUAAAUGAUUCACAACAUUUCUGUGUGACAAAAAAAUAGAGCAGUUAUUUUUUUUUACUUAUUUUUUUUAAAUCUCACAUUUGUCCUUGAAAUAUUCAGGUCAUGAAUUCCAUAUGUGAUAUCCUUAGCAAGGUAAGUGAAAUUUUAUCAGCAAUAUCUUGAAGAGUACACCUAAAUAAUGAUAAUAUUAAUAAUAAAAUAGAAAUUAAUGAUACACAUACGAAUAUAAUUUUAAAACUGUACAGUUAAGCUUGAUUUGUAACGUUAAUAUAUUCAACUCUGUUGAAAUGGAAAACAAUAUUUUGUUUUGCCUUAAAACAGGAUCGCCCAGGUGUUGUACAUAUCAAUUGUCAGGCCCUCACGAAAAUACUGGAUGGAUCUAAAAGGGCAAAGAGCCACUAUUUUCUCAAGAACAACAUUUUGGAAAGGGCAACAGAGGUGUUUGGAGUGUAUCUCGAGAAUGGCAAUCACUGGAGCUUUUUUCAUUGCAAUGUUGACAGAAGGUGCAUCACCUACUUUAACUCACUUGGAGAGACAGAGUGGCAAUGCCAAGCAAUUGCUCAGCACUGGUCUGCAUUUGCAGCCUCAAGGGGAGUAAAAGGAGAGUGGGACCUCAAAACCACAAAACAUAAUUUGCAAGCCGAUUCAGUGUCAUGUGGUAUCCACACACUUGCAUUUGCCACUGAAUUUCUGAAGGCUGGUGGCUUUAUAACCUCCUUCCAGUGCCCUGUAAUACAACAGGAAAGAAUGCGCCUGUCCUCACUUUUGUUUGAAUCUUUA